rnacentral:lncRNA from 1 species
AGUAACCAACAACAUUACCUUCCAAACAAAAGUUCACUUUUAAAGUCAUCGGCACUUAAGCAUUUUCAACAAAUAGAGUAACCAACAACAUCACCCCCUAAACACUAAUUCAUUAUUAAAGUCACCAAAAUUUAAGCAUUUUUAACAAAUAAAGUAACCAACAACAUCACCUUCUAAACACUAAUUCACUAUUAAAGUCACAAAAACUUAAGCUUUUUCAACUAACAAAGGCACCAACAAAACUAAUUCACUAUUAAAGUCACCGGCACUUAAGCAUUUUCAAUAAACAAAGUAACCAACAACAUCAUCUUCUAAACAAAAGUUCACUAUUAAAGUCACCAGCACUUAAGCAUUUUUAACAAAUAAAGUAACCAACAACAUCACCUUCCAAACAAAAGUUCACUAUUAAAGUCACCGGCACUUAAGCAUUAUCAACAAAUAAAGUCACCAACAACAUCACCUCCUAAACACUAGUUCACUAUUAAAGUCACCAAAACUUAAGCUUUUUCAACUAACAAAGGCACUAAUGAAACUAAUUCACUAUUAAAGUCACCAAAAGUUAAGCAUUUUCAAUAAAUAAAGUCACCAACAAUAUCACCUUUUAAACACUAAUUUACUAUUAAAGUCACCAAAAGUUAAGCAUUUUCUACAAAUAAAGUCACCAACAACAUC